UACGUAGGGUGCAAGCGUUUGUCCGGAAUUAUUGGGCGUAAAGAGCUCGUAGGCGGUUUGUCGCGUCUGCUGUGAAAACCCGAGGCUCAACCUCGGGCCUGCAGUGGGUACGGGCAGACUAGAGUGCGGUAGGGGAGAUUGGAAUUCCUGGUGUAGCGGUGGAAUGCGCAGAUAUCAGGAGGAACACCGGUGGCGAAGGCGGGUCUCUGGACCGUAACUGACGCUGAGACACGAAAGCGUGGGUAGCAAACAGG
rnacentral:rRNA from 1 species